AGCUCAUGCCUAAAAACACUGUAAUUCGUCAAGGAGUUGACUGCAUACUAUCAAAUCCUCAAUUUAUAUUACAGAGCUUAGAUUUUAUUUACAGCAAUGAGGAGAAGACUAAAAAGAUAGGGAGACCUGGAAACAGCCUGCACAGAGCAGCCAAUGACUGGUGUUCAGAAUGAGGACCACAGUUCCUUCAAAGAUGGAGGCAGCAAAGCAGAACUUCUUCAUUUAAAAAAAAUUACUUUUUAAAAUUGACACAUUAUUAUACAUA